rnacentral:misc_RNA from 1 species
UCCGGUUUGUCACCGGCAGUCUCGCAUGAGUCCCCACCAUUACGUGCUGGCAACACGCCACGGGGGUUGCGCUCGUUGCGGGACUUAACCCAACAUCUCACGACACGAGCUGACGACAGCCAUGCAGCAUCUGUGGUGCACCCUCGAAGGUCACACGUUUCCGUGCGCUUGCAGCACCAUGUCAAGCCCAGGUAAGGUUCUUCGCGUAGCAUCGAAUUAAAGAACAUGCUCCGCUGCUUGUGCGGGCCCCCGUCAAUUCUUUUGAGUUUUAGCCUUGCGGCCGUACUCCCCAGGCGGAACACUUAUCGCGUUAGCUGCGGCACAGAGGGAUUCGACUCCCCCCACACCUAGUGCCCAUCGUUUACGGCGUGGACUAC